GGAACUUCUGGCGAAGGCUGUAGCUUAUCAUUGGAAGAACGAAAGAAAGUGACUGAAAAAUGGAUCGGUGCUGCAAAACGAAGGAUCAGGAAUGUCAUUGUUCAUGUUGGAACUCAGAAUCUUGUUUAUACUAAAACAUUGGCUAAACAUGCCGAAUCAAUAGGAGCUGCCGGUAUAGCAACAGUUUCCAGUUUUUACUUUAAA